rnacentral:lncRNA from 1 species
UUUCUUGCAUCCGCAAUGUAAAUAAUCGUUGCUUCAGAUACAAUCUUUUCGUCAGGGAUUUGGUCAUGUAUAGAUGUUCUAAUUUCUUCCACAAUUUUGCUGGUGUCAUCUCGCUGGCUAUUAUAAAGAACGUCAUUUACUAUUUACAAAUAAAACGUACUCAACGCUUUUCGCUCCAUCUUCGUCCAUGCCGCACCCAUGACCUCUGUUGACUUUGCCUCAUUCUUGUUCAAUGUUUCAUUCAACUUUUAUUGUACGAGGAUCACUCGUACUUUAAUUUGCCACAAUCUGAAAAUUGUUCUUACUGUCGAACUUCUCGAUUUUGAACUUCAUGGCCAUCUCCGUCGAUCUUUUUUGCAGAUUGGUAACUUUAAGCUCUGAUAUCAAUUGUUGGGAAUAUGGUACUUGCAUGGUGCCAAAUUUUGAGAAUCCGCAACCCACUCUGAUACCAACUGUUGUUGAUUCAGUACUCAAUGUUGGGAUUCCGCAAUGGAAGCAUCGAAUCCAGUUUUUAUCAUAAAUCUGUCUCCUCAGUAAAAGCUGAUACAAUCACAAAAGAAAGAAAUCCAAAUAGAAAAUAUGUUGGUAAAAUAAGAUUUAUUAAAUACGAGAAGAUUACAUCUGACUUCUGAUGCAGAAUAGACUUGUACCUAUAUUGAUCGGAUUAAACUGAUUUAGUUUAUUAUAUUUUAAAACUUAGAUUAGAUUAGUUAAGCAUAUCUUUUAGUUAGUUAAAUAAGGAUUUUGUUGUUAUCCUCUAAUCUAGUUUUAUCUGUAUUUAGUUUUAGAUUUUAUUGUUAGGAUUUUAUCUAGAAGUUGUUAUGAAGGUUGUUAAUUUGGUAGAGAUUUUAUUGUUAGGAAUUUUGUUUUAAGCUUAUCACUGUCAGGAAAGCUCUUUAAAUAUUCUAUGUAUUAGACGAUGAUAUUAAUGAAGAAGAAUGUUAUUUUUUAAUGAGAUGUGUUCUCUAAUUUUUCCUUCGCGAAUGCGUCACCCUGGAGUGAGUCCAAUCCCGAAGUGAGUUCGGUUCAGGAGUGAGUCCUGAUUAUCUUUUUUAUUUCUUUCUUUUUUUGAAUUUUUCUAUUUUCUUUAAUUUUUUUUUAAUUACGAUAAUUUCUAAAAAAAGGUAUUUCAAAAACUUUCAAAUUUUCAAAAAGCCUUCAAAAUCAUAAAUUAUAUUCUAGAGCCAUCUAAAACGUAGGACCCUAUACCCCGUCUUGCAUCAGAUUUGGUAUCAGAGCUUAGGCUAUUUGACGAUUCUAUUUCGUCAAAAAAUUUGGGCUUGUGGACGAAAACAAGGUGGAAAUUUUUUUAAAAAAAAGUUGAAAGAAAAGUGUGGAGAAAAAGAAAAUGGAGAGUGUAUAAAAGAAAAAAAAAGAAAAAAAAAUUAUGGAUGCAAAAGAAUGUCUUAAAAAUGUUUCUCAAAAGUAUGGUAGAAGAAAAUGAAUUCAUAUUGAGUCUUUAAAAGAAAUAUGUGAGAUGACAGGAGUAGAGUUUGAUGAACGGCUGUACGAUCAGAGGUUAUAUUUUGAGAGAAGAAGAAAUGAUAUUCGGAUGGAAAUAUUUGAUGACUUGAGAUGGUGGUAUAGACAAAGGCAAAUAUCUCGUCUUGAUUUUAACAUAAUAUUUUUGGAGGAAGAAGAAAGAAUGUUGAAAAAUAUUGAAAAUGGUGCUAAAAUUGCUGCAGAUGAUUUUCGAUGGAUGGGUAAGGUCAGAGAUGAGUAUCGCUGGAUCCAACUAAAAGUUCAACUGGAAACCCUAGUUGCUCAACAGAGUACACAACCUAUAGAACAGUUGGAAGUCGACAAUUCUGAUCCAGUUCCAUCCACACCAUCCGAUUGCCAAGAAGUUCCAGAUGUGGCCAAGUCCGAGUUAGAUUUAGAAAAUCCAGAGUUGAUUCAUGAAGAUAAGGUAAAUCAGUGUGUUGAGGAGGUAAGAUUACAGAUCGAGUUACCCUCAUUGGUCCAGCAAUAUGAGUCCACUAUAUUAGAUCUUCAAAUUGCAUCGGAAGUAUCUUUCUCGUUGAUAUCAAACCUCAUGAAGUCUCAUGAAUUUAUCAAUCAUUCUUCCUACAUCAAGACCAAGCCGGAAACUCGGAUGAUACCGAUUGUUCGACAUGCAGGCAUUGGACUGCAUCACUUUAUUCUGCCCACUAGGUUGUUUCCUAUCUCCUUACAAAUUCAACUAAUCUCGAGGACGAGAUUCUGCACAGCGGAAGCGAAUGAUGCAGAACAGACUUGAACCUAUAUUGAUCGGAUUAAACUGAUUUAGUUCAUUGUUUUUUAAAACUUAGAUUAGAUUAGUUGAGCAUAUCUUUUAGUUAGUUAAAUAAGGAUUUUGUUGUUAUCCUCUAAUUUAGUUUUAUCUGUAUUUAGUUUUAGAUUUUAUUGUUAGGAUUUUAUCUAGAAGUUGUUAUGAAGGUUGUUAAUUUGGUAGAGAUUUUAUUGUUAGGAUUUUUGUUUUAAGCUUAUUACUGUCAGGAAAACUCUUUAAAUAUUCUAUGUAUUAGACGAUGAUAUUAAUGAAGAAGAAUGUUAUUUUUUAAAAUGAGAUGUGUUCUCUAAUUUUUCUUCGCAUUUAUGCGUCGACCGGAGCGAGUCUGUAGGGGGCGAGUCCCUUAUCUCUAUCCUUUCCUUUGCAAUGUCUUCUCCGACUUGAAGUCCAGUACCUUCGACGCCAUCUACUGAUAGCAGCGCCGGCUCCAUCUGCACUUCCUUCACAUCCCAUUAUUGUUGCCGUCGCCAAGUGUGUCCACCGUCGUUGUCUUCUACCUUUUCUUUAAUUUUAUUUAUUUUUUUUUAAUUACGAAAAUUUCUAAAAAAAGACUUUAAAAUUUUCAAAACGCUUCAAAAAUUAUAAAUUAUAUUCUAGAGCCCUCUAAAAACGUAGGACCCUAUAUCCCGUCCUACGUCAACUUCUCUUCUGUAACAGAGUAGAUUAAAACCCGAGCUCUCUUUCUGAAUCUCUUUUCCUUUUCUCUCGUCCUUUAUAAACCUAAAAGACUUCUCUUGUUGGAUGCACCCAUACACUAGGUGCAUGCAACCAUGGCCAACUCUCUCUCUCUAGUACCACACCACCCAGGAGGCUCUCUCUCUUUUCCAUACUAUAUUCUAAAAGCAACCACAUGAUACUUAUAUAAUGCUUACAAUAAAACGUACGUAUCCCAAUCCUAAUAUAAUUAGAAUUCAUACUCUAAAUAAUAUUUAAAUCUAUAGUUAGUUUGUCUCCGAUAAAUUUAAAUAUAUAUAUCUUAGUCUAGUUAGAUUUAUACUUUAUUUAAUAUUUUAAAUCUUAAUUUAUCUUAAAUAGAUUUAAAUAUUAAUUUUUAUCCAACUAAAAAAACCUACAAAUCUAAUCAAAUCCUAACAAAGUUGAUCAGUUUAAAUGAUCGAAAAUAUUACAUUCCUCAAGUUCACUGAAAAUACACUGACA